UGUAUCAAUCGUGAUACAUCGGCUAUCUCGGAUUCCUCCGUAAGAUAGGCCUCGUGGCUAACGGUCGCCAUAUUGCCUUGUAUUACUACUUUACUACCCAAAAGGUUGUCAGUCUAUUGUUAUGAGGCUGUAUACGAUGCGCGUUGAACUAGCGCCAAACUUUUCACCGAAACUUUGAUAUAAAUAGCACUAUUAACGUUCAUUUGUGUUGCAUUUUGACCUAUUAUCCAAGUGAUUUACUUUUCCAUUUUUAUUUAAUCACCCUAUCAUCCAAUUUUUAAGAUGAAAUUACGGUGUUUACAAAACCAACCAAACCGAAAGUGAAACUGGAUGCAUUACGUUUCGCGAUGUAAACAUUAAAUAUUUGUUCAGUUUGAGGAAGCGAAUCGAUAAUAGACGUUGAAAUAUGUAUGCAAUACAGACUAUCAUUGCCGAUUGUAGUACUGGCUAAAAAAAUACCUUUUAUGACAGGUUUACUGGAUUAUGAAAGACUGAUAAACAUAAAAUUGACAACUCAUCUCCCCAACGAUACUUUGUGUGGCUCAUUCUCGGAACAAACCCAUAGUCAGUGAGAAAACUACAGUGUAAAAAGACCACUUGAUUGUGACAAUUAUGGCUGACCAAGCAAAUGUUAUCAUUUAAAAUAAAGAAAACUUCCAGUUCAAUA